rnacentral:rRNA from 1 species
UACGAAGGGGGCUAGCGUUGCUCGGAAUCACUGGGCGUAAAGCGCACGUAGGCGGAUUGUUAAGUCAGGGGUGAAAUCCUGGAGCUCAACUCCAGAACUGCCUUUGAUACUGGCGAUCUUGAGUCCGGGAGAGGUGAGUGGAACUGCGAGUGUAGAGGUGAAAAUUCGUAGAUAUUCGGAAGAACACCAGUGGCGAAGGCGGCUCACUGGUCCGGUACUGACGCUGAGGUGCGAAAGCGUGGGGAGCAAACAGG